UACAGGAAGGGGAACGUAACCCGGACGAAAGUCGGACGUAAUACCGCAUAAAACAGGGACUACCGCAUGGUGAUAUUUGUUAAAGAAAUUCGCUGAUAGAUGGGCAUGCGUUCCAUUAGGUAGUUGGUGAGGUAACGGCUCACCAAGCCGACGAUGGAUAGGGGAACUGAGAGGUUGGUCCCCCACACCUGGUACUGAGACACGGACCAGACUCCUACGGGAGGCAGCAGUGAGGAAUAUUGGUCAAUGGGCGAGAGCCUGAACCAGCCAAGUCGCGUGAAGGAAGAAGGAUCUAUGGUUCGUAAACUUCUUUUGCAGGGGAACAAAGUGCAGGACGUGUCCUGUUUUGUAUGUACCCUGAGAAUAAGGAUCGGCUAACUCCGUGCCAGCCGCCGC
rnacentral:rRNA from 1 species